UACACUUACCGCUUUCGAGCUAGGCGUCAUACGUGUGCUGGUACUUGUAACUGAUUUCGUGACGGGCACUAGUAUUUGUUUGCGAACUACGAUUAUUAGUCUACGAUGCAAAAAAAUUCACAACACUUAUCUAAUUACUACUUUUUGUGCUAGUAAAAACCUUUCCGGUCGUUUGCACGCCUUUUGUGGAGAGUGCAAACAUGUUCACUACAAUGCCACGAUGCUGAACAGUGGAUUCGGGGAACGUUUUUGGAAGCGGGUUUGUGUGCGUGCGACAGAGAAGCAACGAAGCGGGCUAGGAAGAGCAAGUGGUUUGUUUACAAGCGAUGGUACAGCUACGAGAGAGCGACAGAGAGAGUGUAUGUGCAUUUUUUUUGUCCUCGCGAGAGAGAAAGGUCGAUAUGGAGAGCAGCUCGUACAUGAAGGCCUGUUUACACUGUGCGAAAUGAGGCUAAUUUUAUUCGGCCUUUUCUGCAAAUAAAUUAUCGCGUAAAAUGCAUCUAAUUGCUUUAAAAAUCGAAAGAUUCCAUCGAAGAAGCAUGAUAAACAAUUUCUCCAACAAGCCAGCACCACGUGGUACGCUCCAUCCGCCGUGUGCUGGCGAUAAUCGGCAUGUGCAAGUCGAACGGCGGGCAUGUGCGGCUCGUCAGAACAAUAAACAUUAUGCACACUUUCGAUUGCUGCGUAAAUAGUCACGUUUCGCCCCGGCGGCCCGUUCUUGUGCGCUGUGCCUGUGCAGACAGAACCUUCCGAGCGUUUUGCUGUAACUUAUCUGACUACAAUACAUUCCACAUGCGGAGCUUGUGGGCUGCUGGAUGGGAUAAUCGUUUAAAAUGCGUCCCGGUCAGUUGGAAGAUGUUUCAUACCGUAUCGACCAUCAUGGCGAGUGGAUCAUCAUGCUCUGUUUGGGUAGUGCUGCUGGUUGGUGCUGUCGUUAUUAGCACGGUCAGCUGUGGCAUCGGAACGCCGUGUAAAGUGCUUUGCGAUAAUGGUGAAGAAAUGAUACCCUGCGAUAGGAAAACGGAGAUAUUCAAAUGCUGCGGCCCAUGUAGCGAACCGACGUGCGACAAUCCAAAUCCAACGCAAGAAUGUGAGAAAGGCUGUAAAGCGGGCUGCUUCUGCAGAGCCGGAUACGUACGUUUGCAUGACGGUGGAACAUGUGUUCCGGUUGAAAGUUGCCAGAAUAAACAGUAAAGGACAUGAGACUACUAUCACUUUCGAAAAUGCCUGAGUAGGACGACUCUUGAUCGCUGGUCAUGUCAUGAAGAUGACUCCUGAAGAUGAAGAUGAGCAAGAUGGCCCUCCAUAUAUAUAGAGGAGACUAAGCUAAAUCCAACAUACUAACUGUAGAAGAACUUUUUGGCUUAACGAGCUGCUUCUUAGUCAUUUGCUAUUUGAAUGAUAGCACUUAGUGGAACAGAGAGUCCUCACUACGGGGGAACGGUCCGGAUGUCAGCGACCGACGUGGAGCGACUGGACGUUUGCCACGGAAUAGCAAGUGCGCUUCCUUCCUCGCGACUGCUUUUUGUUCUUUUUUUAAUUGCCUGUUAGGUAGAAACUACGUAUUACAAGAGAUAACGAAACUAGUCUCAUGAAAAAUUGGACUAUAAUUACUUGAAAAUUCCCGUAAUGUACUAAUAGAUGGGUUUGAUCUCUUGUUUGGUUCGCUUGAUGAAUGAUAUAUUCUGUCUCUUGCUAGCCCAUCACCAAUCGUACAGGAUCUUAGUAAAUUAUUUCUAAAUAUAUACCUAUUUACAAAUUAAAAAUGGAUUUAGUCGAAUUGAUGGAACAAAAAGUUUGCCACCCGACAUCCGAUCUUCUCAUUGAACUAGCGGCACACUUACAGAUAGCGUGCUUACAGAACUUAUGGGUCGUGAUUUAGCUAUGUGGUACAGAAGCUGUUUGCUGCUGAGCUUUAGCAUAUUAUUUGUGGUGCCCCGAUUUAGCCUAACGGCAAUUAUCGCGGGUAAUAAGGAGCAGAGCAAUGAGACACGUCCAUUUAAGCUACACGUAACGCGUUUGAUCUGCAUCGAUUUACCAUAUGCGGAAACCACAGUCAACGAGUGUCGCGUGAUCUUAAGGCGCAACCAGAGAUCCCUGAUGAAAGUAUCGAUUAACGUACCGAAGGUGUACAACUUCCUGCUGCUACAGUACCGUUUGCAUUACAAAUUUACCACCUUUCAACCGUUGCUGAUAGACGGCGAGCUGGAAGUGUGCUCCUAUAUGCGAGGUCCUAAGACGAGCAUAUUGGAAAACUACAUAUACGGCGUGAUGUCAGACCUGCUUUCCAAUACAGUGUAUCCCUGCCCGCACGGAAACAAAACGUACACGGAGAUAACCGAGUUUAAGGAGGAGUAUGCGCCCAAGUCAAUACCGGCGGGAGAUUACAGGAUGGACCUCAGAUUUGCAUCCAAAUCCAAUGUAACAUUGCUUUGGCUUCAAGGAUUUGCCACCGUUAAGCGAAGGGGAAUUAUGGGAUCUAUGUUAGAGUGGUGAUUCUCAUUUUCUGAAUGUAUCAAUUCAAAAUUUAAACAAUAAAACUUUGGGUUAGUUUCGAAAGGGCUUAUACUACACCAUCAGACCUACCUUAACCAUAUAACAGUGUUUGAAUAACUAGGUGUAUACCAAUUAUUUAAAUUAUUGUUUGAU